rnacentral:rRNA from 1 species
AUUGAACGCUGGCGGCAUGCUUUACACAUGCCAGUCGAACGGCAGCGCGGGCUUCGGCCUGGCGGCGAGUGGCGAACGGGUGAGUAAUGCAUCGGAACGUGCCCAGUAGUGGGGGAUAGCCCGGCGAAAGCCGGAUUAAUACCGCAUACGACCUGAGGGUGAAAGCGGGGGACCGAAAGGCCUCGCGCUAUUGGAGCGGCCGAUGUCGGAUUAGCUAGUUGGUGGGGCAAAGGCUUACCAAGGCGACGAUCCGUAGCUGGUCUGAGAGGACGACCAGCCACACUGGGACUGAGACACGGCCCAGACUCCUACGGGAGGCAGCAGUGGGGAAUUUUGGACAAUGGGGGCAACCCUGAUCCAGCCAUGCCGCGUGCGGGAAGAAGGCCUUCGGGUUGUAAACCGCUUUUGUUCGGGAAGAAAUCCUCUGGGCUAAUACCCCGGGGGGAUGACGGUACCGGAAGAAUAAGCACCGGCUAACUACGUG